rnacentral:rRNA from 1 species
GACGAACGCUGGCGGCGUGCCUAAUACAUGCAAGUAGAACGCACAGUUUAUACCGUAGCUUGCUACACCAUAGACUGUGAGUUGCGAACGGGUGAGUAAUGCGUAGGUAACCUGCCUGGUAGCGGGGGAUAACUAUUGGAAACGAUAGCUAAUACCGCAUAAUAUUGAUUAUUGCAUGAUAAUUAAUUGAAAGGUGCAAUUGCACCACUACCAGAUGGACCUGCGUUGUAUUAGCUAGUAGGUGAGGUAACGGCUCACCUAGGCGACGAUACAUAGCCGACCUGGGAGGGUGAUCGGCCACACUGGGACUGAGACACGGCCCAGACUCCUAAGGGAGGCAGCAGUAGGGAAUCUUCGGCAAUGGACGAAAGUCUGACCGAGCAACGCCGCGUGAGUGAAGAAGGUUUUCGGAUCGUAAAGCUCUGUUGUAAGAGAAGAACGGGUGUGAGAGUGGAAAGUUCACACUGUGACGGUAUCUUACCAGAAAGGGACGGCUAACUACGUG